rnacentral:rRNA from 1 species
GAUGUAAUCCCUUUAGCCUGAUCAAAACACAACUAUAAUAACCUAUUUAUUUAAUAAAAAUAAUAAAACAUUCUGUAUUUCUAGUAUAUGCGAUAAAAAAAUUAAUCAGAGCAAUAACAAAAGUACCGCAAGGGAAAAAUGAAAUAAAAAUGAAAUAACUUCACACACCAAAAAGCAGAGAUUAGACCUCGUACCUUUUGCAUCAUGGCCUAACAAGUCUAACCAGGCAAAACGAAUUUUAGUCUGACUUCCCGAAACUAAGUGAGCUACUCCGGGGCUACUUCAUGUUUAACCCGUCUCUGUGGCAAAAGAGUGGGGAGACCCCCGAGUAGAGGCAAAAAACCUAUCGAACUUAGUAAUAGCUGGUUGCUUAGGAAAAGGAUUUAAGUUCUGUCUUAAAAAUAUUAAGCACAUUAAGCCUACAUAAUUUUUAAGAACUAUUCAAUAAGGGUACAGCCUUAUUGAAAAAGGAAACAACCUAAAACUGCGGAUAAUGAUUAAUAUACUAAAGGAAUAAAGGUUAAGUUGGCCUAAAAGCAGCCAUCUUUUAAAAAGCGUCAAAGCUUCACCUUUUUUAACCUCAAAUAAUACUAUUGUUUCAAAAUCCAAAAGCACUACUAAGCUAUUCUAUACCUUUAUAGAAAAAUUAAUGUUAGGACUAGUAACACAGAAUAAUUCUCUUACAUGUAAGUCUAAAUCAACACGAAUAACUCUUUGAUAAUUAUUCAGCCCUGAUAACAAAGUAGCACCACCACAAUACAAAAAUCCUACUUAUUUAACUGUUAACCAAACAUAUGAACAUGAAAGAAAGAUAAAAAAAUUAGGAAGGAACUCGGCAAACAUAAGUCUCGCCUGUUUACCAAAAACAUCGCCUUUUGAACAUUAUAAAAGGUAACGCCUGCCCAGUGAUUUAUAUUUAACGGCCGCGGUAUUCUGACCGUGCAAAGGUAGCGUAAUCACUUGUCUUUUAAAUAAAGACUAGUAUGAAUGGCAUCACGAGGACUUAACUGUCUCCCUAAUUUAAUCAGUGAAACUGAUCUUCCUGUGAAAAAGCAGGAAUAACUUAAUAAGACGAGAAGACCCUAUGGAGCUUAAAAUCUAAAUCUACUUAUAUUUUCUAAUAAUAAAAUAUUACUAAUUUAUAGGCUUAGAUUAAGUUUUUGGUUGGGGCGACAAUGGAGAAAAAUUUAUCCUCCAUGAAGAAAAACUUUGAGUCACCACUCUUAGUAUUAGCAAGCCUAACUUAAAUUGAUCCAAAUUUUGAUCAACGGAACAAGUUACCCUAGGGAUAACAGCGCAAUCCAUUUCAAGAGUUCAUAUCGACAAAUGGGUUUACGACCUCGAUGUUGGAUUAGGACAUCCUAG